CGAACCUGGGAAGCGAGGCCGAGAGGGAGCCCCUCCUGGGCACUGGCUCGCCCGGAAGCAGAGAAUGGGGCAUGAUAGAAACCCAAGAGCAUUACAAGAGUAGAUGGAAGUCUGUGAGGAUUCUCUACCUUACUAUGUUCCUCAGCAGUGUGGGUUUUUCUAUUGUGAUAAUGUCCAUCUGGCCAUAUCUUCAAAAGAUUGAUCAGACAGCUGAUGCAAGUUUUUUGGGCUGGGUUAUUGCUUCAUAUAGUCUUGGCCAAAUGGUAGCUUCACCUCUAUUUGGCUUAUGGUCUAAUUAUAGGCCAAGAAAAGAACCUCUUAUCGUCUCCAUCUUUAUUUCGGUGGCAGCCAAUUGCUUGUACGCAUAUGUCCAUGUG
rnacentral:lncRNA from 1 species